CCUACGGGAGGCAGCAGUGGGGAAUUUUCCGCAAUGGGCGAAAGCCUGACGGAGCAAGACCGCGUGAGGGAGGAAGGCUCUUGGGUUGUAAACCUCUUUUCUCAGGGAAUAAGUUCUGAAGGUACCUGAGGAAUAAGCAUCGGCUAACUCCGUGCCAGCAGCCGCGGUAAUACGGAGGAUGCAAGCGUUAUCCGGAAUCAUUGGGCGUAAAGUGUCCGCAGGUGGAGUGGUUAGUCUGUUGUCAAAGAACGGGGCUUAACCCCGUAAAGGCGAUGGAAACUGCCACACUAGAGGCUGGUAGGGGUAGAGGGAAUUCCCAGUGUAGCGGUGAAAUGCGUAGAGAUUGGGAAGAACACCAGUGGCGAAAGCGCUCUACUGGACCAGAACUGACACUCAGGGACGAAAGCUAGGGGAGCGAAAGGGAUUAGAUACCCCUGUAGUCCUAGCCGUAAACGAUGGAUACUAGGCGUAGCUCGUAUCGACCCGAGCUGUGCCGAAGCUAACGCGUUAAGUAUCCCGCCUGGGGAGUACGCACGCAAGUGUGAAACUCAAAGGAAUUGACGGGGGCCCGCACAAGCGGUGGAGUAUGUGGUUUAAUUCGAUGCAACGCGAAGAACCUUACCAGGGCUUGACAUCUGGCGAAUCUCGAUGAAAGUUGGGAGUGCCUUAGGGAACGCCAAGACGGGUGGUGCAUGGCUGUCGUCAGCUCGUGUCGUGAGAUGUUGGGUUAAGUCCCGCAACGAGCGCAACCCUCGUCCUUAGUUGCCAGCAUUAAGUUGGGAACUCUAGGGAGACUGCCGGUUGACAAACCGGAGGAAGGUGGGGAUGACGUCAAGUCAGCAUGCCCCCUUACGCCCUGGGCUACACACGUACUACAAAUGGUUCGGGACAACGGGCAGCAAGCAGGCAACUGUAAAGCGAAUCUCAUCAACCCCGGCCCUCAGUUUCAGAUUGCAGGCUUGCACUCGCCCUGCUUGAAAGGAGGAAUUCGCUAGUAAUC
rnacentral:rRNA from 1 species